rnacentral:rRNA from 1 species
UACGAAGGGUGCAAGCGUUAAUCGGAAUUACUGGGCGUAAAGCGCACGUAGGUGGCUUGGCAAGUCGGGUGUGAAAGCCCCGGGCUUAACCUGGGAAUGGCAUUUGGGACUGCAAGGCUUGAGUGCGGCAGAGGAGACUGGAAUUCCCGGUGUAGCAGUGAAAUGCGUAGAUAUCGGGAGGAAUACCGAUGGCGAAGGCAGGUCUCUGGGCUGACACUGACGCUCAUGCACGAAAGCGUGGGGAGCAAACAGG